rnacentral:rRNA from 1 species
AUUGAACGCUGGCGGCAGGCCUAACACAUGCAAGUCGAGCGAGCGGCGGACGGGUGCGUACUGUCUGGGAAACUGCCUGAUGGAGGGGGAUCACUACUGGAAACGGUAGCUAAUACCGCAUACCAUCAGCUUUUCCCAGAUGGGAUUAGCUAGUAGGUGGGGUAACGGCUCACCUAGGCGACGAUCCCUAGCUGGUCUGAGAGGAUGACCAGACAGACUGGAACUGAGACACGGUCCAGACUCCGAAGGGAGGCAGCAGUGGGGAAUAUUGCACAAUGGGCGCAAGCCUGAUGCAGCAAUGCAGCGUGUGUGAAGAAGGCCUGCGGUUUGUAAAGCACUUUCAGCGGGGAGGCGUUACCCGCAGAAGAAGCACCGGCUAACUCCGUGCCAGCCGCCGCGGUAAUUC